rfam:Triticum urartu cultivar G1812 contig219942, whole genome shotgun sequence.
UCCACUACUCUGUUGGUAGAGUACAAAGUUAUUAACCUUGUGGACAUGGGUUCAAGCCCCAUGGUGGAG